rnacentral:rRNA from 1 species
UUGACCUCAAAUCGGGUGAGACUACCCGCUGAACUUAAGCAUAUCAAUAAGCGGAGGAAAAGAAACUAACAAGGAUUCCCCUAGUAACUGCGAGUGAAGCGGGAAAAGCUCAAAUUUAAAAUCUGGCGGUCUUUGGCCGUCCGAGUUGUAAUUUAGAGAAGCGUCUUCCGCGCCG